rnacentral:misc_RNA from 1 species
UUUGAGAUCGUAGCGAAUGUAAUCGUACACCUUUCUGCUCACCACUCUUAGCUUCAUUUCGACAAGAAUAAAAACAAAACGGGAAGUGCGAAGUCUCUAAUCACCAAUUCUUGGCCCUUUUAAUGGACGGAGAAACUACAGCAAUUAAUUUAUUUCCACUGCGUUAUUAGAGACGGCAACGCCAGACCACCUAGGGCUGGGAGAGGCGAGGAAACAGCAGAAGACGAGUGAUCAACACUGUGAAGGUCACUGCCAUGUUCUGUUCUUCGCUCAAAU